UUUACGAUAAAAGUUACUCGAGUUUCACGCACAAAGGUCUGAUGAUCGCCUUUGUGCGUGAAACUCGAGUAACUUUUAUCGUAAAUAGGUUUAGG